rnacentral:rRNA from 1 species
AACGUACGCUGGCGGCACGCCUAACACAUGCAAGUCGAACGAAGUAGCAAUACUUAGUGGCAGACGGGUGAGUAACAUGUAGGUAUCUGCCCUUUGGCCUGGAAUAACACGAGGAAACUUGUGCUAAUACCGGAUAAGUCUUUACGGAGAAAGCUUUAUGCACCAUUGGAUGAGCCUGCACUUGAUUAGUUUGUUGGUGGGGUAAUGGCCUACCAAGACUGUGAUCAAUAGCUGAUUUGAGAGGAUGAUCAGCCACAUUGGGACUGAGACACGGCCCAAACUCCUACGGGAGGCAGCAGUGGGGAAUCUUGCACAAUGGAGGAAACUCUGAUGCAGCGAUGCCGCGUGAGUGAAGAAGGCCCUUGGGUUGUAAAGCUCUUUCGUCGGGGAAGAAAAUGACUGUACCCGAAUAAGAAGGUCCGGCUAACUUCGUGCCAGCAGCCGCGGUAAUACGAAGGGACCUAGCGUAGUUCGGAAUUACUGGGCUUAAAGAGUUCGUAGGUGGUUGAAAAAGUUAGUGGUGAAAUCCCAGAGCUUAACUCUGGAACUGCCAUUAAAACUUUUCAGCUAGAGUAUGAUAGAGGAAAGCAGAAUUUCUAGUGUAGAGGUGAAAUUCGUAGAUAUUAGAAAGAAUACCAAUUGCGAAGGCAGCUUUCUGGAUCAUUACUGACACUGAGGAGCGAAAGCAUGGGUAGCGAAGAGGAUUAGAUACCCUCGUAGUCCAUGCCGUAAACGAUGUGUGUUAGACGUUGGAAAUUUAUUUUCAGUGUCGCAGGGAAACCGAUAAACACACCGCCUGGGGAGUACGACCGCAAGGUUAAAACUCAAAUGAAUUGACGGGGACCCGCACAAGUAGUGGAGCAUGUGGUUUAAUUCGAAGAUACGCGCAGAACCUUACCAACACUUGACAUGUUCGUCGCGACUCUAAGAGAUUAGAGUUUUCGGUUCGGCCGGACGAAACACAGGUGCUGCAUGGCUGUCGUCAGCUCGUGUCGUGAGAUGUUGGGUUAAGUCCCGCAACGAGCGCAACCCUCACUUUUAGUUGCCAUCAUUAAGUUGGGCACUCUGAAAGAACUGCCAGUGAUAAGCUGGAGGAAGGUGGGGAUGACGUCAAGUCCUCAUGGCCCUUACGUGUUGGGCUACACACGUGCUACAAUGGUAUCUACAACAGGAAGCAAGACUGCGAAGUUAAGCAAAUCCCUAAAAGAUACCUCAGUUCGGAUUGCACUCUGCAACUCGAGUGCAUGAAGCUGGAAUUACUAGUAAUCGUGGAUCAGCGUGCCACGGUGAAUGCGUUCCCGGGUCU